CGGCGCAUAUACGCAGCACGAGCAAGCUGCGGAGCAGCUCCCCAUUGGUGCGGCUGCGGUACGCCGCCUCCGUGUUGCCGAAGUCCACGGGGGGCACAGUCACCUGCCCUUGCCCUGUCCUCCGUUACUUCACCUCACCUCUCCACGCCUGGUAAUGCACUGCAAUGACUCUCUCUUUAGGACCCAAAUAAUUCCUUGACGUCUAGAUCCGACGGCCUCUUCUCAGUUCUCGGGAUCCUUUGGAGACUCCCCUGCUCCUCUGGUUCUCUGAAAACAAACUCACCGCUGCAUCCGUUACACUGGAGAACUGGAUUGGACUCCUUACCCUAGUAUUCAGAGUGUGAGCUAGCCAUUUUUCAGUCUGUGCCACAGCUUUCUUUAUUGUGAAAUGGGAUAAUCAAUCAGCCAGCAAGCAUUUGUUGACCACAGUACUUGUGCCAGGCGCAGAGCUGCCCAUCGGAAAAAACAAAGGGGAAACAGAUAGUCCCUUCCCUCGUGGAACUGUGGGCAGUUCCUCUCAUUGAUUGCCCUUGGGGUCAGCAAAACUCAUUUUAGUAAAACUGAAAAUAUUACGAAACAUAUUUCCUCUAAAGCCAUUUCAACUCGUGGAAAAGUCCUUUUUUGGUUGAUAGUAAUCAAGAUCAAGGCAGAUUAAAUUCUUCAACUGGAAAAUGUAUUAAGAGUGAUGACCAAAUUUAACACAUCACUACAUCAUCACUUCCCUAUUUGAGUGUCAUAGCUGUGCUCUUCUCCUCUCCUUUCCUCUGAUUUCCUUUUCUCUUCUCCUCCCCUCCUGAAAGCUAGAAAUAGCUUAGAUAUAGAUUAAAGAUAAAUUAAAUUGUUUCUGGAAGUCUUGAACCUAAA